rnacentral:rRNA from 1 species
GAUGAACGCUGGCGGCGUGCCUAAUACAUGCAAGUCGAGCGAACAGACGAGGAGCUUGCUCCCCUGACGUUAGCGGCGGACGGGUGAGUAACACGUGGAUAACCUACCUAUAAGACUGGGAUAACUUCGGGAAACCGGAGCUAAUACCGGAUAAUAUAUUGAACCGCAUGGUUCAAUAGUGAAAGACGGUUUUGCUGUCACUUAUAGAUGGAUCCGCGCCGCAUUAGCUAGUUGGUAAGGUAACGGCUUACCAAGGCAACGAUGCGUAGCCGACCUGAGAGGAUGAUCAGCCACACUGGAACUGAGACACGGUCCAGACUCCUACGGGAGGCAGCAGUAGGGAAUCUUCCGCAAUGGGCGAAAGCCUGACGGAGCAACGCCGCGUGAGUGAUGAAGGUCUUCGGAUCGUAAAACUCUGUUAUUAGGGAAGAACAAAUGUGUAAGUAACUAUGCACGUCUUGACGGUACCUAAUCAGAAAGCCACGGCUAACUACGUG